UGGUAUGAGUGUAGUGGUAGAGCAGUCUUUUAUUGUAGUGGUAGACAUACUCAUACCAAUAAAAGACUGUCUACCACUACACUCAUACCA
rnacentral:pre_miRNA from 1 species